rnacentral:rRNA from 1 species
UACGUAGGGUGCAAGCGUUAAUCGGAAUUACUGGGCGUAAAGCGUGCGCAGGCGGUUUUGUAAGUCUGUCGUGAAAUCCCCGGGCUUAACCUGGGAAUGGCGAUGGAGACUGCAAGGCUAGAAUCUGGCAGAGGGGGGGUAGAAUUCCACGUGUAGCAGUGAAAUGCGUAGAGAUGUGGAGGAACACCCGAUGGCGAAGGCAGCCCCCUGGGCUAAGAUUGACGCCUCAUGCACGAAAGCGUGGGGGAGCAAACAGG